GCCCCGAUAGCUCAGAUGGAUAGAGCGGUCCCCUCCUAAGGGACAGGUCGCACGUUCGAAUCGUGUUCGGGGCGCCA
rnacentral:tRNA from 1 species